AAUAGAGAACCAAAUCUAGCCGACCAAGAGCCCCUCCUUCAGAGGAUCACCGGGCAGCUGGUCGAGAUAGCUCCAUAGGCUCUCUCAAUCUCUUAUAGCCACUUAAGGGACUAGGUGCUCUACAGAUGGCAUCAGUAGCGUCCCCUGAAAAUAGCAACCCCCUAGAACAGACCCGCAAUGACAUACCCAAGGAGCACAAACACAGCAAACAAGCCAUUUUUCAUCGAAGAUAAGGAGUGUUGGAAGGAAUGCAUGCAGCCUCUAGGUAAACAAUAAGCUAGAUGAAAUCAUCCAGCACCGCGCAGGAUCUCAGACCCUCUUUGUUGAACCACACCUGCAGAGAAAACACACCAAAAUCUCUUAUUUACAGACGCACCCAGAGGUUGGGAUGGAUAAUGCACCCUGCGGGCAAGAAGACGAAGCUGUCCCCUGCCUGAAAGGGGUAAGAAAGGCCAACUACAUCGUAGAGAUGAAUAGACUAGUGAAUCUAAAAGAAAUUUAAAAAAGAGAGAAAAAAACUCUCUAAAACUUUAUUAAUUAGGAUUUUCCCACCCAACCCACUCCUCGCUCAACUGCUCUCUCCUA
rnacentral:misc_RNA from 1 species